rnacentral:rRNA from 1 species
UCCGUAGGUGAACCUGCGGAGGGAUCAUUGUUGGAACGCGCUUCGGCGCACCUCCAGACAACCCUUUGUGAACUUAUACCUAUACUGUUGCCUCGGCGUCAGGCUGGCUCCCCUCGGGGGGUCCCUCACCAUCUCGGUGAGGAGCAGGCCCGCCGGCGGCCAAGUUAACUCUUGUUUUUACACUGAAACUCUGAGAAUAAAACAAAAAUGAAUCAAAACUUUCAACAACGGAUCUCUUGGUUCUGGCAUCGAUGAAGAACGCAGCGAAAUGCGAUAAGUAAUGUGAAUUGCAGAAUUCAGUGAAUCAUCGAAUCUUUGAACGCACAUUGCGCCCUCUGGUAUUCCGGAGGGCAUGCCUGUUCGAGCGUCAUUUCAACCCUCAAGCCUGGCUUGGUGAUGGGACACUGCCUUUGAGAAAAGGCAGGUCCUGAAAUUCAGUGGCGAGCUCGCCAGGACCCCGAGCGCAGUAGUUAAACCCUCGCUUUGGAAGGUCUUGGUGCGGCCCUGCCGUUAAACCCCCAACUUCUGAAAAUUUGACCUCGGAUCAGGUAGGAAUACCCGCUGAACUUAAGCAUAUCAAUAAGCGGAGGA